rnacentral:rRNA from 1 species
CCUACGGGAGGCAGCAGUUAGGAAUUUUGCGCAAUGGGGGAAACCCUGACGCAGCCACGCCGCGUGCGGGAUGAAGGCCUUCGGGUCGUAAACCGCCUUUCUCGAGGAAGACACCCGACGGUACUCGAGGCAUAAGCAACGGCUAACUACGUGCCAGCAGCCGCGGUAAUACGUAGGUUGCGAGCGUUGUCCGGAUUUACUGGGCGUAAAGCGCACGCAGGCGGUUCCGAAAGUCGAAUGUGAAAGCUCCUGGCCCAACUGGGAGAGGCCGUUCGAAACUUCGGGACUUGAAGGCGGGAGAGGCAGAUGGAAUUUCCGGUGUAGCGGUAAAAUGCGUAGAUACCGGAAGGAACACCAGUGGCGAAAGCGAUCUGCUGGCCCGCCCUUGACGCUCAGGUGCGAAAGCUAGGGGAGCGACCGGGAUUAGAUACCCCGUUAGUCCUAGCUGUGAACAAUGGGCACUAGGUGUUGUCGGUAUCGACCCCGGCAGUGCCGAAGCUAACGCAUUAAGUGCCCCGCCUGGGGAGUACGACCGCAAGGUUAAAACUCAAAGGAAUUGACGG